CCUACGGGAGGCAGCAGGAGGGAAUAUGGAGCAAUGGGGGAAACCCGGAAGAAGAAAAGAAGAGGGGAGGAUGAAGGUGGGAGGAGGGGAAACUCCUCUUGUUAGAGAAGAUAAUGACGGUAUCUAACGAAUAAGCACCGGCUAACUCCGUGCCAGCAGCCGCGGUAAUACGGAGGGUGCAAGCGUUACUCGGAAUCACUGGGCGUAAAGAGCGCGUAGGCGGGAUAGCAAGUCAGAUGUGAAAUCCUAUGGCUUAACCAUAGAACUGCAUUUGAAACUGUUAUUCUAGAGUAUGGGAGAGGUAGGUGGAAUUCUUGGUGUAGGGGUAAAAUCCGUAGAGAUCAAGAGGAAUACUCAUUGCGAAGGCGACCUGCUAGAACAUAACUGACGCUGAUGCGCGAAAGCGUGGGGAGCAAACAGGAUUAGAUACCCUUGUAGUC
rnacentral:rRNA from 1 species